CUCCUCUCAGGGUUACACCUGGAGAGUUUCCAGUACUCUACCAGUCUCAACUAUAGGAGGGAGAGUCAAGCAGAGGCAUACCCAUUCCAUUCCUAGCUUGGGCAAUGGCUAGCAGGUGGAAGGCAAUCUUUUACAAGU
rnacentral:snoRNA from 1 species